CUACGGAGGGUGCAAGCGUUAUCCGGAAUCAUUGGGUUUAAAGGGUCCGUAGGCGGGCUAAUAAGUCAGGGGUGAAAUCCCACAGCUUAACUGUGGAACUGCCCUUGAUACUGUUGGUCUUGAGUUACAGUGUAGUGGUUAGAAUGUGUAGUGUAGCGGUGAAAUGCAUAGAGAUUACACCGAAUACCGAUUGCGAAGGCAGAUAACUAACUGUAUACUGACGCUAAUGGACGAAAGCGUGGGGAGCGAACAGGAUUAGAAACCCCAGUAGUCC
rnacentral:rRNA from 1 species